AUGGAAAUAUCAUCAAGGUUGGUCUUAGCAUCUCAAAGCCGCCUCUCUCCUCUGUAUAUACUCUGUUGGAUACGAUUCACGCACCUCCAAAGCCACCGUGGAUUUACUACGGGUUGUAAUUUGUCCCUCUUUCAGAUCUAUCCAUUUAUGUUUUUGUGUUGUCUAUUUUAUGCUUUUUGUCAUUUGGGAUUUAAGACUGCACUCAUGGUAUUUGAUAAAAAGCCUCAAAGGAUUUUUGUGUUUUGGAGCAACAUUAUCUCUAGUCAUCAACAAAGUUUUGAGCAUUCCAUAAAAGUGGACAAUCUUGAGAACAAAGAAGUCGAUAUGCGUAGACACAAAUCAAAGAAAUCAUCCUUAAUU